GUGGCAGACUGAGAAGCGGAAGGUCUCGGGUUCGAUUCCCACCUCC
rnacentral:tRNA from 11 species